GCCCGCAUGGCUAAGUGGUGAGCGAGCUCCGUCCAAUUGGAUUUGGUAUUCACUGACUGGUAUGGUAGGUAUAGCGUCUCACUAGUAAUGAGAACCUUCGCGGUAUGAGAAGAUCGGCGGUUCGAUUCCGCCUGUGGGCC